rnacentral:rRNA from 1 species
GACGAACGCUGGCGGCGUGCUUAACACAUGCAAGUCGAACGGAAAGGCCCUGCUUUUGUGGGGUGCUCGAGUGGCGAACGGGUGAGUAACACGUGAGUAACCUGCCCUUGACUUUGGGAUAACUUCAGGAAACUGGGGCUAAUACCGGAUAGGAGCUCCUGCUGCAUGGUGGGGGUUGGAAAGUUUCGGCGGUUGGGGAUGGACUCGCGGCUUAUCAGCUUGUUGGUGGGGUAGUGGCUUACCAAGGUUUUGACGGAUAGCCGGCCUGAGAGGGUGACCGGCCACAUUGGGACUGAGAUACGGCCCAGACUCCUACGGGAGGCAGCAGUGGGGAAUAUUGCACAAUGGGCGGAAGCCUGAUGCAGCAACGCCGCGUGCGGGAUGACGGCCUUCGGGUUGUAAACCGCUUUCGCCUGUGACGAAGCGUGAGUGACGGUAAUGGGUAAAGAAGCACCGGCUAACUACGUG